CUUUGGUAAAGGAAACCUUAUUGAAAAUAAGGGCGCAAAAUUAUCGGUCUAAAGUUCUGUUAGGAAGUAUGAUCACUGGGUUCCCGAA
rnacentral:ncRNA from 1 species